GCAUGCAGUAGGACGGUUGUAGUUUGAACCAGUUCUGGAAGCUUCCACACAGGUGGGUGUGUCUAAUCCCUUGCAGAUGAAAGAAGCUAUUGACUUUUAAAAUAAGGGUCCUCUGUAGACGCUCGAUGUAAUUGCAUACAUGUACGUUCAGCAGAACACCAAGUUUGAACGUGGCGAGGGUACGAAGACG